rnacentral:rRNA from 1 species
UACAGAGGGUGCGAGCGUUGUUCGGAAUUAUUGGGCGUAAAGGGCGCGUAGGCGGUGCGGUAAGUCACCUGUGAAAUCUCCUGGCUCAACUGGGAGCGUGCAGGCGAAACUGCCGUGCUGGAGUGUGGGAGAGGUGCGUGGAAUUCCUGGUGUAGCGGUGAAAUGCGUAGAUAUCAGGAGGAACACCUGUGGCGAAAGCGGCGCACUGGACCACAACUGACGCUGAGGCGCGAAAGCUAGGGGAGCAAACAGG